UAUUUACUAUAAAAAUGUUUUCAAAAUAAAGCAUAAAACACUAUGGGGACCACACAGUAAAAAAAAAAUAUGGCGUAAUUGUUUUGAAGUUUUAAGCUAUUGCAUAAAAAUGCAAUCAAUAUCAAUAUCAACCUCAAUACUUCUUUUCUUUUGCAAUCAAAAAGGAAAUAAUGAUGCUGAAUGUGAAUUUCCGCACACUUCUCGCAUAUGGGCUGACAUCCCUUCCACAUUCAAUACAAAUCAAGUCAUCAAUUUAUCAAAUCGAUUAACACAUUAGCUAUUUGUUUACAAUUUUGAUUAAAUUCGCAGCAAGGUCCAAGCUUCCGCACACUUUGAAGCUUGUGUUUGCCAUGCGAAAUAUUUUCUAUUCUUUUCACUCAAGCUGAUUAAUAUCUCUUAUCGUUGCCUGGGGAUUAUUUCGCCACCAUUCAAUAUUCAAUUCAAUUGCUGAACUCUGCCAGGGCAAGUUCUACUCUACUCUUUGUUGUUUGUUGAUCGAAACACUAUCAAUAUUGUUAACAUGCUUGCAUCAAUGUAUAAAUAUAAACCUUGCUAAAACCUAA